UACGUAGGGGGCAAGCGUUAUCCGGAUUUACUGGGUGUAAAGGGAGCGUAGACGGCGAUGCAAGCCAGAUGUGAAAGCCCGGGGCUCAACCCCGGGACUGCAUUUGGAACUGUAUAGCUAGAGUGUCGGAGAGGCAGGCGGAAUUCCUAGUGUAGCGGUGAAAUGCGUAGAUAUUAGGAGGAACACCAGUGGCGAAGGCGGCCUGCUGGACGAUGGCUGACGUUGAGGCUCGAAAGCGUGGGGAGCAAACAGG
rnacentral:rRNA from 1 species